UACGUAGGGACCUAGCGUUGUCCGGAAUCAUUGGGCGUAAAGAGCGUGUAGGCGGCCAGGUAGGUCGGUUGUGAAAGUCAAGGGCUCAACCCUUGAAUGCCGGUUGAUACUGUCGGGCUAGAGUCCGGAAGAGGCGAGUGGAAUUCCCGGUGUAGCGGUGAAAUGCGCAGAUAUCGGGAGGAACACCAAUGGCGAAGGCAGCUCGCUGGGACGGUACUGACGCUGAGACGCGAAAGCGUGGGGAGCAAACGGG
rnacentral:rRNA from 1 species